rnacentral:lncRNA from 1 species
CUGGAUCUCCGUGUAGGGCCCCGGAGCCGGGGACGAGGUCAGGUUCCCUUGUUACCGCUGGGUGGAGGUCGACGGCGUCCUGAGCCUGCCUGAAGGCACCAGGGCGAGAAGAGGCGCUCACCAAAAGUCACUGGCCAAGCCCUCCUCUGGCCUUCUAGGCCGUACUGUGGGCGACGACCCUCGAGGCCUGUUCCAGAAACACCAGGAAGAGGAGCUGGAAGAGAGAAGGAAGUUGUACCGGUGGGGAAACUUGAAGGAUGGGUUAAUUCUGAAUGUGGCUGGGGCAAAACUAUGUGACCUCCCUGUGGAUGAGCAAUUUCUGGAAGACAAGAGUGUUGACUUUAAGGUUUCGCUGGCCAAAGGGCUGGCCGACCUCACUAUCAAAAACUAAAUGUUCUGACGCUGGGCAUGGUGGCUCACGCCUAUAAUCCCAGCACUUUGGGAGACUGAGGCGGGCAGAUCACGAGGUCAAGAGAUCGAGACCAUCCUGGCCAAUAUGGUGAAACCCUGUCUCUACUAAAAAUACAAAAAUUAGCUGGGCGUGGUGGCACGCGCCUGUAGUCCCAGUUACUUGGGUGGCUAAGGCACAAGAAUUGCUUGAACCCAGGAGGUGGAGGUUGCAAUGAGCCAAGAUUGCACCACUGCACUCCAGCCUGGUGACAGAGUGAGACUCCAUCUCAAAAAUAAAAUAAUGUUCCGA